GCCCCAUUUUCUCUGAACCAUUCUUCCAUCUUCCGUACCAAUUUCAACCCUAUUCCCUUUCUCCGGUGAUGAGGAGAGACACGAAGGCCUAAAAUAUAGGAAAGUUUAGUGAAAACAGGAAGGUGUUGUUGAUGAGGCAAUUUGGGGAAAUCGUGAUUGUUCCUCCACAGCCUCUUUCCACACGUAACGCUUUUGAUACAACCUCUUAUCAUUCCUACUAUUCCCCUGCUUUCUUCUCCCACUACUAUCUCUGCCACCAGCAUCAGAUACGCAG
rnacentral:misc_RNA from 1 species